GAAAAUCAAACGGCGGCGUGAGAGAGAAUGGGUUCAGAGAGAGUGACUGGGAAGGUGAAGUGGUUCAAUGACACCAAGGGAUUUGGAUUCAUUACCCCUGAUGAUGGUGGUGAUGACCUUUUCGUUCACCAAUCUCAGCUUAAAUCUGAUGGUUUUCGAUCCCUAGCAGAAGGUGAAUCUGUUGAGUUUCAAAUCGAAGCUGAUUCUGAUGGUCGAACCAAGGCCGUUGAUGUCACUGGUCCUGAUGGUGCCAACGUGCAGGGUAGCAGACGCGGCGGAAGCGGCGGCGGAGGUGGAUAUGGCGAUGGAAGAGGCGGAGGUGGUUAUGGCGGUGGAGGACGCGGUGGAGGUGGAUAUGGUGGUGGAAGAGGCGGAGGUGGAUAUGGUGGUGGAAGAGGCGGAGGUGGAUACGGUGGUGGAGGACGCGGUAGCAGAGGAGGCUAUGGUGAUGAAGGCUAUUGAGGUGGCUCUGGCAGUGGCCAGACCUUAAACCCUAAUUCUCGUAUUUGCAUCAUAAUAUGAUACUUUAUUGAUCAAUGAUUGGUUUAUGAGUGACAUGUGUUGUUAUUUUUAUGAUGUAUCAGAACUCUUAUCAAUAUAUAUCUAUGAAAGUACAUUUAAUGCAUUCAAUCUGUUUGAAAGUACAUCUAAUGCAUUCAAAGUAGAGGAUGGUGUUGGAUAUGGUGAUGUGGACAUGUCCUACUGUUUGGUCUUUCUGGGUUCAAUCCUAUAGUCUUAUCUAGAUGCUUAGAAGUAUAUGACGACAAAAUAUAUUGUAAUUUAUCUCCCUAAAUAUAUCGAUUGUUUGACAUUAAAUAUAUUAUAAAAAAACACAUUAAAUAAUAAUGUUUAUUUUCUGAUAUUACUAAAGGACAUUCAUCAAAUAUUAAAUGUACAUUCCUUAGUUAAUUAGUUUGGGACAAGUUUGACCCAAUGUGACGGAUCACAUUGUUAGUAUGAUUUAUUUAACCGGGUAAUGAUUUUUAGUAAAGUAUAAUUGAUCUUUAAUUUUUUGCCAAUAUAACAUGUAAUUAUUAACGAUAUAUAUCAUUCUAAUCAUUUUAUUUGUGUACAUUCAUAACAAUGAAUAGAGACGACUUAAUUUAAAAGUGAUAGACAUUAUGUUAAUCGGGCUUAGUAUUAGUUUUUAUAUUUAAGGGUCCAAUUCGUGUUAAUUAGAAAUGUAAAAAUAAUUAUAUUUUACCCUCGUAAUGUAGUUAUAUUACGAUAAUUACAAAAUGAUAUUUUAUUUAUUAAUAAAUGAUUUAUAAGUGAUAUAUUUGAUUUUCUUAUCCAUGGGAGAAUCAUGAAUUUAAUAAGAGUCUAUAUAAUUUAUGUAAAAAUAAACUAUUAUACAUAUUUCAUACUAUUGAAUGAUAAUCAAUUCACAAAUCCUCUUCUAAAGUUAUAUAUUAUACUAUAGUGUAACAUAUAUGUAUUAUUAGAUUUUAAAUAAUUAAUGAUCAUUAAACAUAAAUAAUAGAUAUCAUAAUUAGCGGUGAGCAUGAGUCGGAUUGGGACGAGUUAAAGCUUGUCUUUACCUUACCCUAAACAUUGGUUAUGUCUUUUUUAAACUUGGACUCAACCCUAGACCUAAAGCUAACCCGACCCUAAAUAGCGAUCGGGUCAACCUUUAAAUUCGACCCUAUUCCCGAUUAAAUAUAAUGAAUACUCAUUUUAGAUAAAUAUUUUUCAAUAUUAUUUAUUAUUAUGAAUAUGUAGUUUGAUAUAUAAAAUGAUAUAUGUAUAUAUUGUUAAUCAUGUAUAUAUUAAGGAAAAAUUAAAUAAUAAAUGAUACUUUCGACCAAAAUUGUAUCAUUACUCUAUCUACACUUGAGUAGAAACACAUAAACAUGAUGAUCGACUCACAUUGGAACGGGAUGGGCGGGUCAUGCUUGCACUACCCGUCUUUGAAUAUUGAGUGAGUCUAUUUUUAGAAAUCGAACCCGACCCUCGACCCGAUCAGACUUGAUCAUGAUCGGGCCAUGUUGGAUGAGCGAGUAGGGUUCGGUCCUACUCACCUCUAAUUAUAAUGAUGUUAUGUAAAAUUUGUAUCAUUAUUGUUGUAUACACUUUUUUUUCAUUCUACAAUAUUAAUGUUAUAGAUGAUGUUUAGAGCAAUCACAUUGGUUGUUCUCAAUUGAAAGAACAUUUUUAUUUUAUUCUCCAUUGUGUUAUUUUUAUUUUCUGUAACAAUUCUUGGUUGUUUUUAAUAAAGGGAAAAGUGAUGGAAAUGUAGAUAUUGUUUGAAAAAUGUAAAUGUUGCGAAACGAAGAUAAGAAUAAAAUUAAUGUGUAUUAUUGUGUGAAAAAUAUAAAUUGUUCUUAUUUUAUAAGGAAUUGUAAUAAAUUAUAAAACAAUAUGUGUGUAAAAUAAAAAAGAAAGUUGUAUUUGGUGCUUUUAUGUGUAUAGAGCAUAACUAUACACUAUAUAGCCUAUAGAGUAUUAUUAUUAAAGUUAACUACAUCACAUCCUGUGAGAUACAGUUUGACCUUCAAUUGAAAGCGACAAAUUGCAUUAGUCAUAAUUUUAACAUUUGCUGGACAUUAAUUUACUUAUUUAAUUAUAGUUUUCAUUUUUUGAACUUUUAUCUCUUUUGAGAUGAAAAUAUUAUGCCAUGGAAAUAGACGUCACGGUUAAAUAAUUCUAUAACAACUAACUAUAAGGUAAAUAUGUUGAGUCCUGUUAAUUCCUUAAUCUUAAAAUAUGAUUUUUUACAAACAAAAAAAUCUUCAAUUUAUUUAAUACUAGCAUAUUACUACCAUUUUUAAAUAAAAUUUGAGUUGUUGGAAAGAAAGGUGAAACAGCAUUGACCAGUCCACUGAAUCCAACGGUCCACAUGCAAUACAAAGGAAAGAAGGAUUCCUGACCACAAGAUGAACCUCUAAGUCCAAUCCUCUCGAAGGAUAGUAAUUGGAUCAAGAAUAGGGCCCACAAAAUUAUCAAAAGCCCAAUACGUGUCGCACCGUGUUAAUGAGUCAUGGAUAUAAAAGCAGAACCCUUUCUCAUUAUUUGCUUCAUUGCGAUAUUGUUUGAAACCCUAAUCUCAGAAAAUCAAACGGCGGUGUGAGAAUGGGUUCAGAGAGAGUAACGGGGAAGGUGAAGUGGUUCAAUGACACCAAGGGAUUUGGAUUCAUUACCCCUGAUGAUGGUGGUGAUGACCUUUUCGUUCACCAAUCUCAGCUUAAAUCUGAUGGUUUUCGAUCCCUAGCAGAAGGUGAAUCUGUUGAGUUUCAAAUCGAAGCUGAUUCCGAUGGUCGAUCCAAGGCUGUUGAUGUCACUGGUCCUGAUGGUGCCAACGUGCAGGGUAGCAGACGCGGCGGCGGCGCUGGCGGUGGCGCUGGAGGAAGUUAUGGCGGUGGAAGAGGCGGAGGAGGAUAUGGUGGUGGUGGACGCGGUGGAGGACGUGGUGGUAGAGGAGGCUAUGGUGAUGGAGGCUACGGAG
rnacentral:lncRNA from 1 species